UACCAUCAUAUUUUUUUGACUUAACAUUUGCUGUUGCCUUGUAGUAAACCACUUUAACGAAUAGAAAAAAAAAAUCUGAACAACUGGCAGAUUUACCUUACCAACUCGUAUUUUUCCUUUCAGCAAUCCACUGUCCAAGUGCUGUUGCCCGGGUGCUAAAACGUCUGGAAUCACUAACAGAUGCCAUAGACAAGGCACAUAAACGAAUGUCAAGAGUCCUUCUCCUCACUGUAGAAGUUGGACUGACGUCCAUUAACGAUUUCGUCUGUUGCGGUCUCGGUCUGUUGUUUUGUGUGGUGCUGCGGUGGUGGCUUUUUUUGGUGAAGACUAAAGACGAGAUAUAAAUUUGGAGGGGAGACUAUUACGAAAAAAUGUGAAAGGUGCAUGAAGCCAGUACUGUCAACUAUUGUGUUGGUAUCCUACAGAAUAUGUCAUCCAAAUGACAGAGAGUGGAUUCAUCACUAUUAUCGGCUGAAUCAUUCUAUGAGACUUGCCAGAUUGCAACCCAAGCAUGGACCAAUUUCUUAUUCCAUCUUCUAGAGAACCUUACAUAACCGAUUGGUGGUUUAGUGUGUUUUAGGUUUCUAAUGUAGCAUGAUAGACUUUAUGAGAAGUCAUGUUGUUUGAAGAAAAAGGACUAUACAGUCGACAAGGUUCUUUGGUAACCCGUUGGCUGCUACCCUUGAAUCUCCCUGUUUACUUCCUUACACGGGUCCACUUGAUUUGAGGGUAAUCCUUCGCUACUGAUCACACCCACGCUGGUGAAAACCGACGAGAGAAUG
rnacentral:lncRNA from 1 species